rnacentral:rRNA from 1 species
UUCCCUACGGGGGGCUGCAGUGGGGAAUAUUGCGCAAUGGGGGAAACCCUGACGCAGCGACGCCGCGUGAGCGAAGAAGGCCUUAGGGUUGUAAAGCUCUGUUUUAAGGGACGAAUGUUACGGGGAGUAAUAUGCCCUGUAAAUGACGGUACCUUAAGAGGAAGCCCCGGCUAACUACGUGCCAGCAGCCGCGGUAAGACGUAGGGGGCGAGCGUUGUCCGGAAUUACUGGGCGUAAAGAGCACGUAGGCGGGAACUUAAGGCAGGGGUGAAAGACCGGGGCUCAACUCCGGGGUGGCACUUGAAACUGGGUUUCUUGAGGGCAGGAGAGGAAAGCAGAAUUCCUGGUGUAGCGGUGAAAUGCGUAGAAAUCAGGAGGAAUACCAGUGGCGAAGGCGGCUUUCUGGACUGACCCUGACGCUGAGGUGCGAAAGCGUGGGUAGCAAACAGGAUUAGAUACCCUGGUAGUCGC